AGGGCGCACGGUGAAUGCCUUGGCACUAGGAGCCGAUGAAGGACGGGACUAACGCCGAUAUGCUUUGGGGAGCUGUAAGUGAGCUUUGAUCCAAAGAUUUCCGAAUGGGGGAACCCAGCAUCUUUGAUAGGAUGUUACUGCUGACUGAAUACAUAGGUCAGUAGAGGUAGACGCAGAGAACUGAAACAUCUAAGUACCUGCAGGAAGAGAAAGAAAAAUCGAUUCCCUGAGUAGCGGCGAGCGAAACGGGAAUAGCCCAAACCAGAAAGCUUGCUUUCUGGGGUUGUAGGACUGAACAUAUAGAGUCAUAAAUGAAGUUGGUAGGAGAAGCGAUCUGGAAAGGUCUGCCGAAGAAGGUAAAAGCCCUGUAACCGAAACCAAUUUCACUCUGAUCAGUAUCCUGAGUACGGCGGAACACGAGAAAUUCCGUCGGAAUCCGGGAGGACCAUCUCCCAAGGCUAAAUACUCCCUAGUGACCGAUAGUGAACCAGUACCGUGAGGGAAAGGUGAAAAGAACCUCGGAAGAGGAGUGAAAUAGCCCCUGAAACCGUGUGCCUACAAAUAGUUAAAGCCCGUUAAUGGGUGAUAGCGUGCCUUUUGUAGAAUGAACCGGCGAGUUACGAUCACAUGCGAGGUUAAGUUGAUGAGACGGAGCCGUAGCGAAAGCGAGUCUGAAUAGGGCGAAUGAGUAUGUGGUCGUAGACCCGAAACCAAGUGAUCUACCCAUGUCCAGGUUGAAGGUGCGGUAAUACGCACUGGAGGACCGAACCCACGUAUGUUGAAAAAUGCGGGGAUGAGGUGUGGGUAGCGGAGAAAUUCCAAUCGAACUUGGAGAUAGCUGGUUCUCUCCGAAAUAGCUUUAGGGCUAGCCUCGGAAUUAGAAUCAUGGAGGUAGAGCAACUGUUUGGACUAGGGGCCCUUCUAGGGUUACCGAAUUCAGAUAAACUCCGAAUGCCAUUGAUUUAUAUCCGGGAGUCAGACUGCGAGUGAUAAGAUCCGUAGUCGAAAGGGAAACAGCCCAGACCACCAGCUAAGGUCCCAAAGUUUAUGUUAAGUGGAAAAGGAUGUGGAGUUGCUUAGACAACUAGGAUGUUGGCUCAGAAGCAGCCAUCAUUUAAAGAGUGCGUAAUAGCUCACUAGUCGAGUGACCCUGCGCCGAAAAUUUACCGGGGCUAAACAUAACACCGAAGCUGUGGAUAGAACCAUUGGUUCUAUGGUAGGAGAGCGUUCUAAGGGCGUUGAAGCUAGAUCGUGAGGACUAGUGGAGCGCUUAGAAGUGAGAAUGCCGGUAUGAGUAGCGAAAGACGGGUGAGAAUCCCGUCCACCGAAUGACUAAGGUUUCCUGGGGAAGGCUCGUCCUCCCAGGGUUAGUCGGGACCUAAGUCGAUAGAAACAAACUGCCCGUACCGCAAACCGACACAGGUAGUCGAGGAGAGAAUCCUAAGGUGUGCGAGAGAACUCUCGUUAAGGAACUCGGCAAAAUGACCCCGUAACUUCGGGAGAAGGGGUGCUGACCAAUUGGUCAGCCGCAGUGAAUAGGCCCAGGCGACUGUUUAUCAAAAACACAGGUCUCUGCAAAAUCGUAAGAUGACGUAUAGGGGCUGACGCCUGCCCGGUGCUGGAAGGUUAAGAGGAAGGGUUAGCUCUCGGGCGAAGCUCAGAAUUGAAGCCCCAGUAAACGGCGGCCGUAACUAUAACGGUCCUAAGGUAGCGAAAUUCCUUGUCGGGUAAGUUCCGACCCGCACGAAAGGCGUAACGAUCUGGGCACUGUCUCAACGAGAGACUCGGUGAAAUUAUAGUACCUGUGAAGAUGCAGGUUACCCGCGACAGGACGGAAAGACCCCAUGGAGCUUUACUGCAGUUUGAUAUUGAGUGUUUGUACAGCUUGUACAGGAUAGGUAGGAGCCAAUGAAGCCAGGACGCCAGUCUUGGUGGAGGCGUUGGUGGGAUACUACCCUUGCUGUAUGACCACUCUAACCCACAGCCCUUAUCGGGCUGGGAGACAGUGUCUGACGGGCAGUUUGACUGGGGCGGUCGCCUCCUAAAGUGUAACGGAGGCGCCCAAAGGUUCCCUCAGAAUGGUUGGAAAUCAUUCGCAGAGUGUAAAGGCAUAAGGGAGCUUGACUGCGAGACCUACAAGUCGAGCAGGGACGAAAGUCGGGCUUAGUGAUCCGGUGGUUCCGUAUGGAAGGGCCAUCGCUCAACGGAUAAAAGCUACCCUGGGGAUAACAGGCUUAUCUCCCCCAAGAGUCCACAUCGACGGGGAGGUUUGGCACCUCGAUGUCGGCUCAUCGCAUCCUGGGGCUGUAGUCGGUCCCAAGGGUUGGGCUGUUCGCCCAUUAAAGCGGUACGCGAGCUGGGUUCAGAACGUCGUGAGACAGUUCGGUCCCUAUCCGUCGCGGGCGUAGGAAAUUUGAGAGGAGCUGUCCUUAGUACGAGAGGACCGGGAUGGACACACCUCUGGUGUACCAGUUGUUCUGCCAAGGGCAUUGCUGGGUAGCUAUGUGUGGACGGGAUAAACGCUGAAAGCAUCUAAGCGUGAAGCCCCCCUCAAGAUGAGAUUUCCCAUCACGUAAGUGAGUAAGACCCCUGAGAGAUGAUCAGGUUGA
rnacentral:rRNA from 1 species